rnacentral:tmRNA from 1 species
UCACUUCACAUUAAGCCGCGAUAGCCUAUAUAGGUCAGUGCCGGUUUCGACCGGCUAUGGCGAUAAAUUGCGGUGUGCAAUAGGCACAGCGGACCCGGGGGCAGUACCCGGCGGCUCCACCACAAUUCCCGGUUUUCCGGGUCUUCUGACGGGGCCGAACCAGGAUCGACGUGUGUUGAAAAGCACUGUUUUCGCCCGGGCUGAGUAACCCGUUAAAGGCUCAAAACUCACAAGUGCCAACGACAACGAAGCACUUGCUCUCGCUGCGUAAUUCUAGGGCCUAACGGCCUGACCUUACAAAGCAUUGAGCACGGUUCGGACCGAACCGGGUAACAGAAUCGGAAACC